rnacentral:rRNA from 1 species
UACAGAGGUCCCAAGCAUUGUUCGGAUUCACUGGGCGUAAAGGGUGCGUAGGUGGUGAGGUAAGUCUUAUGUGAAAGCUCGGAGCUUAACUCCGAAAUGGCAUAGGAAACUACCUUGCUCGAGGGUUGGAGGGGGGACUGGAAUACUUGGUGUAGCAGUGAAAUGCGUAGAUAUCAAGUGGAACACCAGUGGCGAAGGCGAGUCCCUGGACAACUCCUGACACUGAGGCACGAAAGCUAGGGGAGCAAACGGG